CUGACCCGGAUGGUGGAUCAUAUGGAGAGACACCUCUGGUAGCUGCGGCAACAGAUGGGCUAACUCAAACUAUCAAGCAUUUAAUUCAAGCUGGUGCUAAUCCAGAUAUCACGGAUACUUAUGGACUCACACCAUUAGAAAUUGCCGCACUCAAUGGUUAUCAUAAUGCUGUUGAGAUUCUUUUCCCUGUAACCUCUCGUAUUCCGGAAUAUAUCAACUGGAGCGUCGGUGGAGUAAUUGCACAUGUACAGUCUGAUCAAGCUAAGGAACAGAGGGAGCUGAAAGCCAAGGAAAAGUUUGACGAGGCAAAGUUAAGUGGUGCAGAUGCAUUUAAGAAACAGGACUAUUUUAACGCAAUGGUUUGCUACUCAGGCAAACGAAAUUGAUCCGCAUGCUGCAAUUAUACUUUCUAACCGUAGUAUGUGCUUGGCCCGCAUGAAAGAAGGCACAGAGGCCUUAGAAGAUGCCAAUGCAUGCAUAUCACUAAGGCCAGAUUGGCCUAAGGCUUAUUAUAGAGCAGGUGUAGCGUACACUUUACUACGAAGGUACAGUGAUGCACAAAAGGCCUUCCUCGACGGUUUGAAGUUGAGUCCUAAUAAUCAAGAGCUUAAAGAUGCAUUCAGGUGGAAUUC